rnacentral:rRNA from 1 species
AGACGGGACCCGCACAAGCGUGGAUGAUGUGGAUUAAUUCGAUGCAACGCGAAAACCUUUACCUACCCUUGACAUGUCUGGAACCUUGCUGAGAGGCGAGGGUGCCUUCGGGAGCCAGAACACAGGUGCUGCAUGGCUGUCGUCAGCUCGUGUCGUGAGAUGUUGGGUUAAGUCCCGCAACGAGCGCAACCCUUGUCACUAGUUGCCAUCAUUUAGUUGGGCACUCUAGUGAGACUGCCGGUGACAAACCGGAGGAAGGUGGGGAUGACGUCAAGUCCUCAUGGCCCUUAUGGGUAGGGCUUCACACGUCAUACAAUGGUCGGUACAGAGGGUUGCCAACCCGCGAGGGGGAGCUAAUCCCACAAAGCCGAUCGUAGUCCGGAUCGCAGUCUGCAACUCGACUGCGUGAAGUCGGAAUCGCUAGUAAUCGUGGAUCAGCAUGUCACGGUGAAUACGUUCCCGGGUCUU